rnacentral:rRNA from 1 species
UACAGAGGAUGCAAGCGUUAUCCGGAAUGAUUGGGCGUAAAGCGUCUGUAGGUGGCUUUUUAAGUCCGCCGUCAAAUCCCAGGGCUCAACUCUGGACAGGCGGUGGAAACUACCAAGCUGGAGUACGGUAGGGGCAGAGGGAAUUUCCGGUGGAGCGGUGAAAUGCGUAGAGAUCGGAAAGAACAUCAGUGGCGAAGGCGGCCUGCUGGGCUGUCGCUGACGCUGAGGCGCGACAGCGUGGGGAGCAAACAGG